rnacentral:rRNA from 1 species
GAUGAACGCUGGCGGCGUGCCUAAUACAUGCAAGUCGAGCGAACAGAUGAGGAGCUUGCUCCUCUGACGUUAGCGGCGGACGGGUGAGUAACACGUGGAUAACCUACCUAUAAGACUGGGAUAACUUCGGGAAACCGGAGCUAAUACCGGAUAAUAUAUUUAACCGCAUGGUUCAAUAGUGAAAGACGGUUUUGCUGUCACUUAUAGAUGGAUCCGCGCCGCAUUAGCUAGUUGGUAAGGUAACGGCUUACCAAGGCAACGAUGCGUAGCCGACCUGAGAGGCUGAUCGGCCACACUGGAACUGAGACACGGUCCAGACUCCUACGGGAGGCAGCAGUAGGGAAUCUUCCGCAAUGGACGAAAGCCUGACGGAGCAACGCCGCGUGAGUGAUGAAGGUCUUCGGAGCGGAAAACUCUGUUAUUAGGGAAGAACAAAUGUGUAAGUAACUAUGCACGUCUUGACGGUACCUAGUCAGAAAGCCACGGCUAACUACGUG